rnacentral:lncRNA from 1 species
UUCUCUCUCCCUCUCCCUCUCUUCUUCUUCACUUCCUGUAUGCUGUUUCUGGGGCCAGUGCCUUGCCUGGUCACCCUUGAUACGUCACCAGGUCCCGCCCUGAGGCUACAGGGAGGACGGCCACAUGAUGGACCCACUCAGCAUUAUGGGUCUGCGGCAGCGGCAUGUUGAGUGGGCUCGCCUGAAGGGCUCCACUUCGGCCAGAGGCUUUGGGAUUGAAACUCUUCGUUCUUGUCCUUGAGCUGCUAAUGUUUCACCUGUAAUCUGCUUUGUCAAAGGCCACCUCCCUGAUUUCUCAUUAACCAAUAUAUCCCUGCUGCUUAUCAAAAUGUCUGGCAUAGAAGUGCUCAGGAAAUAUUUGCUGAAUGAACAAAUACUUGAACAAAAUGAAUGACUUCAUAUAUAAAUGUAUCAGUCAGCUGCUGCAGCAUAACAAACAGCCACUAAAUCUCAGUUGUGUCAACAAUCAACAUGCAUUUUCCAUCUAAAUUUAUUCUGCAAGUUCACUGGGACAGCGAACUGCAGGUGUAUCUGGCUCAGCUGUGCACAUCUGUUGGCCUCUGUGGACAAGCAGGCCAGCUGGUACAUGUUCCCAUGGCUGGGGCAGAGGUGCAUGAGAAAAACUAGAAACACACAAGGUUUCCUAAGGUCCGUGGUCAAAUCCAGCACCUGGGCAAACUCAAAGUCAAAGUACAGAAUCUUCCCUGGAGGAGAGACAGCAAACUCCCAUGGCAGAAGACUUGGCCUCCUACCAGCCCACGGUGCAUGUCGCAAGGGUCCCCUGAUGUUUAAUGCAUGAGCUCCACAUCUUCCCAGCAGCCGCUGCAGACAGAUUCUCUCAGCAUGGAGAUGGCAUGAAAUCAGAUGACUGUACAGGAAGCAGCCUGCCCCCUCUGAUUGUUGUGAUGCUGCCCAGCUCCUUCCACUCAUUUCCCGUUUUAUAAUCUCUUUUAUUAAUGUGCCGG